rnacentral:tRNA from 1 species
GCCUCGAUGGCGUAGUGGUCAUCACACCGGGGAGAUGUAGGGUUCGAUUCCCACUCGGGACA